UGUAACGUGGACAGAGGCAUCACUUGGAGCUAAAGUUUGGCCUUUCUGCAGAGGAUCCUGUUUUCCAGCCCUCACAAGAGUUCCUAGAAACUCAGACUUCAGCUUUUUGGGGAUCUGAGUGGGGAUUUGGGGCCGGUUGGCUCCAGCACAGCAGCAGAAAUAAACCUGAAAUUCUUUUUUCUGGGUGCUGCCCCUCGCUGAGGAUUUUCCAGCCAAGCUGAUGGCUUUUCCUGCCAGGAGAGAGACUCCUGAGGCCCUGCUGGGAGAAUGACAGCUCUGGGCUCUCCUGGCACAGAGAACAGACACAGAUAAGUUUGUUCUCAUCUCCUGCUGUGGGUGUGUGCUGUCCAUCACUAGAGACCCCUCAGGACCUGCAGGAAAUACAAAAGAGGAGCAAAUCCCCCAGGUUUGUGCACUGGGAGUCCAUAACCUGGUCUCUGACCCCACACCUACUCCUGACUCUGAUUUUCCCCCCUUUAUGCCCAAAUUGCCCUGGAAGCUGCAGCCUGCACUGCUCAGGAGGAUUGGGAGCUCCUCCUUUGUCAUGCAAGGAAACCCUUCCAAGCAGUCCAGGAAUUCUGCUCACAGAACAUUCCCUUAUCAACCCUUCCUGCACAAACUGCAUAAUCCCCACCAGCCUGAGCAGCACUGCAAGCUUAUUUGCUUUGUGAUUUGUGGUCGGAUCAUUGCA